rnacentral:rRNA from 1 species
GAUGAGCGCUGGCGGCGUGCCUAAUACAUGCAAGUCGAGCGAACAGACGAGGAGCUUGCUCCUCUGACGUUAGCGGCGGACGGGUGAGUAGCACGUGGAUAACCUACCUAUAAGACCGGGAUAACUUCGGGAAACCGGAGCUAAUACCGGAUAAUAUAUUGAACCGCAUGGUUCAAUAGUGAAAGACGGUUUUGCUGUCACUUAUAGAUGGAUCCGCGCCGCAUUAGCUAGUUGGUAAGGUAACGGCUUACCAAGGCAACGAUGCGUAGCCGACCUGAGAGAGGGAUCGGCCACACGGGAACUGGGACACGGUCCAGACUCCUACGGGAGGCAGCAGUAGGGAAUCUGCCGCAACGGGCGAAAGCCUGACGGAGCAACGCCGCGUGAGUGAUGAAGGUCUUCGGUUCGUAAAACUCUGUUAUUAGGGAAGAACAAAUGUGUAAGUAACUAUGCACGUCUUGACGGUACCUAAUCAGAAAGCCACGGCUAACUACGU